rnacentral:rRNA from 1 species
AUUGAACGCUGGCGGCAGGCCUAACACAUGAAAGUAGAACGAGUGGCGGACGGGAGAGUAAUGUCUGGGAAACUGCCCGAUGGAGGGGGAUAACUACUGGAAACGGUAGCUAAUACCGCAUACCAUCGGAUGUGCCCAGAUGGGAUUAGCUAGUAGUGGGGGUAACGGCUCAACGCGGCGACAAUCCCUAGCUGUUCUGAGAGGAUGACCAGCCACCCUGGAAUUGAGACACGUUCCAGACUCCUACGGGAGGCAUCAGUGGGGAAUAUUGCACAAUGGGCGCAAUCCUGAUGCAGCCAUGCCGCGUGUAUGAAGAAGGCCUUCGGGUUGUAAAGUACUUUCAGCGAGGAGGCGUUACUCGCAGAAGAAGCAUCGGCUAACUCCGUGCCAGCAGCCGCGGUAAUUC